CUGGGCACCAGGGAUGGGAGUCCCUUCCAUCAUCUGGGCAAUGGGGAGCUAAGUUGACUUAUAAAGAUUAAAUCAGUAAUGUACAGAAAUAACUCACAAACUAAUCAGAUGACUUAAAAGGGAAAGAUUAUGAUGGUACUAAAACUAUUUUUGAAGGAUACUCAUUUGUAGUAUAAGAGAUGAAACAAAACAGGACUCAGACAUCUCGGUACUGUGUCCCUGAAUGUCUGUGACUGCAUCAUGAGUGCUGCUGCUGGAUUAGGAUAAAGUGACACAUCUGCAAAUAUGGACUCCACAAAUAAUGACAAGCGACUGGUAGUAAAUUUUAUUAGCAAAAGUUAAAAAAAGUAAACCUAGGGCCGGGGAUUUAGCUCAGUGGUUUCGUCGCCUGCUGCGCAAAUGCAAGGACCCGAGUUCGAUCCCCAGUACCAAAAAAAAAAAAAGUAAACCUAAAUAUCUAAAGGAAUUGGCAAAAUAACUACACAUAUAUUCAGAAAUACAAAUUAAACACAGCUCUUAAACACACAAAAAGGUGCUGACGUCACAGUAAGAUAAAUAAAACCUCAGCCAGGGAUGGUGGCACACACUUAUAAUCCCAGUACUUGGGAGGCUGAGGCAGGCAGAUAACAAGCUUGAGGCCCAUUUGGGCCACACAGUGAGACUCAAGUCUCCAAAACCACCCCCACCCAGCCAAGCUCAGUGCACACACCUGUGACCCUAUCACUCUGGGCAAAGGGGCCGAAAAUUCAAGCACCACCUGGGCAAUACAGCCACUUAGCAAACCUGUCUCAAGAUAAGAAAUAAAAAUAGGGCUGGGGGUGUAGCGCAGCUCAACCCCAAGCACUGUAAAAAUCAAGCAGAAAACCCAUGCAGCAUGAGAGAAUCAUUUUAAACUAUUAGACUGAAAAGAUCCAACGGUUUGAUACACUACUGGUUACACUGAGGGAAACAGAAACUCAACUUGGGUGGAAAUGCAAAUUAAUAAACUUCUCCUGAGAGCAAUUGGGCAAAAAUCUAUUAAAAUAUUAAGUGCUUCAAUCCAGGAAUUCUACUUCUAGAUACAAAUUGGUUAUUCCUAAAGAUGUAUUACUUCUACCAAAAGAAUUAUGUAAAAGAACAGUAGCUUUAGUAUUAGAGAGAAAACGACAGGGAAAAAUCUGAACUUUCUUUUUUGUAGUGCUGACUACAUCCCCAGCCUAAACAUAAACUUUUCAUCUACAAUAGGUCAAUUAAGUAACAUAUACUUCCUUACAUAAGAAUAACCUCCAACGGUAUAAAUAAAGAAGACAGCUGCAGGGUGUGGUGGUGCACACCUAUAAUCCCAGGACUCCUGAGGCUGAGGAAGGAGGAUCGCUGUGAGUUCAAGGCCAGCCUGGGCUACCCAGUGAGACCCUGUCUCAACCCCUCUCCCCCAAACAGUUCUAUAUACUAAUAUGAAGUAGUCUUCAGGAUAUACAUAUUAAGGAAAAAGUACUUAUUAAAGAACACUGAAUUACCUGCAAAAAUAAAAAAUUUAAAGGGGUAACAAUAGACCAGGUUUAUUUUAAUUACAUUGUUUAAUUUGUAAGAAAUGUGUAUGGAAUAAAAAUUUAAGGUUGGGGUGGGGAUUUAGCUUGGUGGCACUGUACCUGUCUGGCAAUUGCAAGGUCCUGCGUUCAAUUCCUGGUACCGAAAAAAAAAAUUUAAGGUAAAUAGAAUACUGCCCUGAGGUGGUAAUUAAUGCACACACAUAAAUAUGUAUUUAUGCAAAUAACAGGACACAGUUCUGCAUUGUGCUUUUUUUUCAUUUAAAAGUAUUAAACAGGGCCAAGGAUUUAGCUCAGUGGCACAGCACCUGCCUCACAAGCGCAAGGUCCUGAGUUUGAUUCCUGGUACCAAAAAAACCCAAAAGUAUUAAACAUAUCUUUCAAUCUGACUAUUCCACAUAUACCAAAGCAACAAUGUUGCUUUUAACAAAGAACUAAACAAGCCGAAUCAUGUUCAAAAAUUAACUGAAGCUAUUUUACAACUUUCAUAAACAAGAAUAACAAUGGAGAAAGAAUAACCACUUAACAAAUUUACCCCAAGCAUCCUUGGGCAGUGUGUUUAUUUACGUACUAGGGCAGGUGUCAUUUCAACCAAUCAGUUCUUACACUGAUAAAAUCGUUUUUAUUUUAUUUAUUUUUGUGUGGGUUUUUUUUUUUUUUUUUUUUUUUGUUACAAGGGAUUGAACUCGGGACCUUGCGCUUUCAAUGCAGGCGCUGGAACCACUGAGCUAAAUCCCCGGCCCUUAUUUUUGAGACAGGUUCUCACUAUGUAGUCCAGGCUGGCCUCGAACUUGGGGUAAUUCUCCUGCCUCAAUAUCCUAUGGGCUAAGAUUACAGGCAUGUGCCACUAUGCCCAACAAUUGUUUUUAUAUUUCCUAUUAUCUUAUAAAAAUUAAUGAAGAAAAAUAUGCAAUAUUUGGUCAUCCUGUAUUUAAAUAAUUUGCCUAGUAAGUGGUUAAAAUCUUACCAGCAGAGACUAUAAUACUCAGCUGUGCCUGCAGAAAGCAGGCUUUGUUAUUUUUCGUGGGAAGCAAUGUAUGAUGUACAGAACUACUUAGAACCUAGGAACCAGGAUACAAAAUUAAUCAUCUAUAAAAUUAUACCUAUAAAACUUCUAAGCAAAAGGACCCAAAAUAGACUUAUGGCCAAGUACAAAAAUGUGUCAAUAAAGCCAUAUUUGGUAUCUAUGUCUCAUGAGUCUGAGAGGUAUAUAGUAUCACUGUUUAAUAUACUUUCUUUUGACCACUACAAAACUAAUUAUUCAGAAGCAUGUGAUGAAUGAAAUUUGCUCUAGGGUGCGGUGUAGGUAGCUCCGAGCACUUGUGUGGCACAUGUCAGGCCCUCCCAGCACUGCCAAAAAGAAAGCUGUUCACAAAUGGGAAAGGUGGCAGGGCAUGGUGGUGCACGCUUGUCAUCCCAGGACUCUGAGAAGCUAAGGUGGGAGCAUCUCAAGUUCAACUUAACAAGGCAAAUUAACCCAGGAAACAUAGCAAGACCUUGUGUCAAAAAAUAAAAAGGGGGCCGGGGAUUUAGCUCAGUGGUUCCAACUGCCUGCCUCGCAAGUGUAAGGACCCAAGUUCGAUCCCUGGUACCAAAAUAAAUAAAUAAAUAAAAAAUAAAAUAAAAAGGGACACUGCACCUGCCUUGUGAGCACAAGGUCCUGAGUUUGAUCCCUGGUACCCCCAAAAAUAUAAAUAAAUAAAAAGGGGCCAGGGCCAUAGCUCUGGAUUCAAUUCCCAAUACCACAAAAAAUAAAUAAGUAUGUAAAAUGGGAAAAAUGAUUCAGUGAACUAAGUCAUCUGGCCAAGCAUUCAUGAAGCAAUGAAACAUUUGGCUUUUUGGUUUUUGGGGGGUUUUUUGGUACUAGGGAUAGAACUCGGGUCCUUGUGGUUGCGCAGCAGGCGGCAAAACGACUGAGCUAAAUCCCUGGCCCUGAAACAUUUGUUAAAACCAACUGGUGUUUGGAAAAUGGGGAUGGGCCAGGCAUGUAGCUCAGAGGUGCAAGCACAAGGUUGAGUUCAAUUCCCAGUACUGGAAAAAAAAAAAGAAAGAAAAUGGGGAAGAAGCUGGAGGUGGACUUGUUUUUCUGUUGUCCUGUUGCAGACUACAAAACAGCAUAAUACACGACGUGACCAUUUUCAGGCACUGGGUAGGUGCUGGCCCAGGGAGUGGCUUCCAGCCUGUGGAGGCAGCUGAGGCUACGGCCAGUUCCCCAGCCCAGGCAGCUGGCUGCACCUCAGGUCUCGGGCGGAGGUGCUGGAGCCUGAGGAGACAGGGACCAGAGAGGGACACGAAGAGAAGGAGCAGAAGUCUGGAAGGAUCCCAGGCAGAUCCACACCCAAGUCCUAUUUGCAUGUGUGCAGGACAGAGGUCCACAGGGCCGGCUGGCAAGAGCAGCUGCUGGCAGAGCCAAGCCAGAGACGGACAGCUCAGAGUUGCAUGGAUGCGCUGUGUGGCUCAGGAUGGGCAUUUCCUCAUCUGUGAGAGGGGACAAUGGAGUCUAACUUGAUGCCAUUAUAAAUACAUACAGAAAUCACUCAGAAAGUUAUCAGGAUUACUUAUAAAGGGAAGAAAACUUCAUGUGGCAGUUUCUAGUUCCUUUUACAAUAAAAAUAUGAAUCCACUAAAACUUAGCCAAAGCAUGGUGUGUAGUUUUCUAUUCUCUGUGUAGUGCUUCUAUUUAUUCUUUCAUAUUUGACUGAAUAACCAAGAACUUUAAUUGAAUAAAAAUGACAUUUAUCUAAUAAUGAAAUGAGUAAUUACACUUAAAAAGUGUUUUUGGUAUGGUGCUGGGAAUAUACUUUUAUUUAUU
ensembl:lncRNA